rnacentral:lncRNA from 1 species
AUAGCAACAGCAGCGUAGCUGAACAUCUUACGGAUGGCCCAGGGCUCCAAAGGCUCGUUUCCUAAGUGAGAGAGAGCCUGGCUGAAGCUGUAUUACCAUUCAUUCUCCAGCCUCCGAAGUCUCAAAGCAUCACUUCCACCAUACUCUAACUGUCAAGACAAACACAAAGGCCCAGAGAAGGGGUCUCACUAUGUUGUCUGGAGUGCUGUGGUGGAGUGGAGUGGCUAUUCACAGAGCCUGUUCUGCUGGGACACAGAAUCACUUGCUCCAUCUCAUACAUUGAUGAUGAUUAAUUUGUAUGUGUACCUUCCAAAAAAGAUGGUUGUGUUUGAAUGGAGGCCUUCUGGACAGGAAAAUAUGGAGAGUGCGUGCUUUGGAUUCAAGACUGGGAAUGAGGGGACCAGAAACCUAUUCUGUGGCUGUUUCUUGUUAGGACUUUCCUAAGCCUCUGGAAAAGUGCAAAGUACAAUUAACAUUUGAGUCUGUCUGAGUCAUGAAGAAAUGGAGAUUACUGAAAAUAAUUCAUUUUGGUAUCUUCUUACAUCCUGAGAGACUAAUCUUUCCAAGUUCAUCUGAGGCUCCUCUUCUCCAUGACAACCUCAUCCAGGGAUUUCUUCCUGUCCUGGUGUUUUAUGACAUCAUCCUCAUCUCGCUUGUAAGGAUAAUAGCCUUCCUCCAAACCUCACACACUUUUGGAGGAGAUCACUUUUUUUAAAGUGCAUGGAAAUGUUUUGAAACAGUGAAAUCUAUAAUGAUAGGUUUCAUAAUUCUAACAUCCACACCAUAUGAAUCACAUCCUUCCUGAGAUAAUGAGCACACAAUUGCCUGGAUACCUGAAGGAAUGGAGACAGCGGCAGAAAACACUGCAGAGAGGUGGAAACAUCCGUUAAUAUUUUAAAAUCCCAUUACUGCUACCAACAAUAAUAAUGGAUGCAUAGAAAUAGAUCUGGAUUAGCUGAGCUUGAAACAGUCCAUCUCACACACACACAAAAGAAUUUCAGAUACAGUGAACCCACAUGUUGAAGCUUUCUAGUAUAAUAAAAAUUUCAACUGUUCUGUUGAAUCAUCUGCCUGAUUGGAGGCUACAGAAAAGAUGUCAUCUUAGGAGUGCUUGCUCUGAGUGAGGCUCAUCUUCAAAUCUGAAUGACCACAAGGAGAUUUGAUUAUACAUGUGAACACCUCAGAAGGCACAGCCCACCCAGAAGGCAGACAGGAGGAGACAGACACUAGAGCUCACCGGCUCGCCCUCUCACUCCUACUCAUCUGAGAAGGCAGCCAGCUAACCCUUCAGCCAGGAAGAGGGUCCUCAUCAGAACCUGGCCGUGGUGGCAUCCAGAUCUUGAACCUCCGGACUCCAGACUGUGAGAAAAUAAGUGUGUUGUUUAAAC